rnacentral:rRNA from 1 species
CGCGCUAUUUAGCUAKGUUGUAGGUAGGUUCACAGCAKGAUCGUACGACUGARGGUAUCGCCCAUGACUGAGACCGCCAGUCCUACGGAGGCAGCAGUAGGGAUCUCACCAUGACGCCAGUCUGAUGAGCACGCCGCGUGAGKGAGAAGGGUUCGGCUCGUAAGCUCYKUUGUAAAGAAGACGUGGGUAAGAGUACCUGUUUACCCAGUGACGGUAUUUAACCCAGAAAGCCACGGCUAACUACGUGCCAGCAGCCGCGGUAAUACGUAGGUGGCAAGCGUUAUCCGGAUUUAUUGGGCGUAAAGCGAGCGCAGGCGGUCUUUUAAGUCUAAUGUGAAAGCCUUCGGCUCAACCGAAGAAGUGCAUUGGAAACUGGGAGACUUGAGUGCAGAAGAGGACAGUGGAACUCCAUGUGUAGCGGUGAAAUGCGUAGAUAUAUGGAAGAACACCAGUGGCGAAGGCGGCUGUCUGGUCUGCAACUGACGCUGAGGCUCGAAAGCAUGGGUAGCGAACAGGAUUAGAUACCCUGGUAGUCCAUGCCGUAAACGAUGAUUACUAAGUGUUGGAGGGUUUCCGCCCUUCAGUGCUGCAGCUAACGCAUUAAGUAAUCCGCCUGGGGAGUACGACCGCAAGGUUGAAACUCAAAAGAAUUGACGGGGGCCCGCACAAGCGGUGGAGCAUGUGGUUUAAUUCGAAGCUACGCGAAGAACCUUACCAGGUCUUGACAUCUUCUGACAGUCUAAGAGAUUAGAGGUUCCCUUCGGGGACAGAAUGACAGGUGGUGCAUGGUUGUCGUCAGCUCGUGUCGUGAGAUGUUGGGUUAAGUCCCGCAACGAGCGCAACCCUUAUUACUAGUUGCCAGCAUUAAGUUGGGCACUCUAGUGAGACUGCCGGUGACAAACCGGAGGAAGGUGGGGACGACGUCAAAUCAUCAUGCCCCUUAUGACCUGGGCUACACACGUGCUACAAUGGAUGGUACAACGAGUCGCGAGACCGCGAGGUUAAGCUAAUCUCUUAAAACCAUUCUCAGUUCGGACUGUAGGCUGCAACUCGCCUACACGAAGUCGGAAUCGCUAGUAAUCGCGGAUCAGCAUGCCGCGGUGAAUACGUUCCCGGGCCUUGUACACACCGCCCGUCACACCAUGAGAGUUUGUAACAYMCAAAGCCGGUGGGGUAACCUUUUAGGAGCUARCCKUUUUUWUUWAGG